AUUGAACGCUGGCGGCAUGCUUUACACAUGCAAGUCGAACGGUAACAGGCCGCAAGGUGCUGACGAGUGGCGAACGGUUGAGUAAUGCAUCGGAACGUGCCCAGUCGUGGGGGAUAACUACUCGAAAGAGUAGCUAAUACCGCAUACGAUCUAUGGAUGAAAGCGGGGGACCGUAAGGCCUCGCGCGAUUGGAGCGGCCGAUGUCAGAUUAGGUAGUUGGUGGGGUAAAGGCUCACCAAGCCAACGAUCUGUAGCUGGUCUGAGAGGACGACCAGCCACACUGGGACUGAGACACGGCCCAGACUCCUACGGGAGGCAGCAGUGGGGAAUUUUGGACAAUGGGCGCAAGCCUGAUCCAGCAAUGCCGCGUGCAGGAAGAAGGCCUUCGGGUUGUAAACUGCUUUUGUACGGAACGAAACGGCUCUGGUUAAUACCCGGGGAUAAUGACGGUACCGUAAGAAUAAGCACCGGCUAACUAAGUG
rnacentral:rRNA from 1 species